UUGACCUACGGGACGCAGCAGUGAGGAAUAUUAGUCAAUGGGCGCAAGCCUGAACCAGCCAAGUCGCGUGAGGGAUGACGGUCCUAUGGAUUGUAAACCUCUUUUGUCGGGGAGCAAAGCGCGGUACGAGUACCGUGAAAGAGAGUACCCGAAGGAAAAGCAUCGGCUAACUCCGUGCCAGCAGCCGCGGUAAUACGGAGGAUGCGAGCGUUAUCCGGAUUUAUUGGGUUUAAAGGGUGCGUAGGCGGAUUAGUAAGUCAGCGGUAAAAAUGCGGUGCUCAACGCCGUAUCGCCGUUGAAACUGG
rnacentral:rRNA from 1 species